UAGGUGUUUCAUUCAGAAAUGGAGGCAGAUCUUAACGCAAGUUUACAAUCGGUUGUUGAGGAUUACUCGCCGCCUGAAACACCGCCAGCAGUCCCCUUCCUGCAGCAGGAGGAGGAAGAUGAAGAAGAACAGGAACACACGGAGGAUAAUUUCGUCACGGGGGGAAUCAGACCUUACAUGUUUGAGCCGUUACAUGCGGAGGGUUCGAAUGGUAAAAAGUGUUCCAGGGAGUUCAGGAGGAGUAUGAUGAUGUGAAGAGUGUCAGUGAAGAUGUGAGAAACCUGAUUGACUAUGAUGAUGUGGGGGAGGAGUCGAAGAAAU